ensembl:lncRNA
GAAGAACAAGCUCAGAACUACCAGAUUUGGAUCACUGAACACAGCUGUGAUUCAUUAAGCCAUCCACAGCACCAAGUUGAAAGCCAUCAUCACUGGGGAGAAGUUUAAAAUCUGCAGAACAAAUCCAAACCUAAGCAGCUUUCCUUAUGGUGCUUGCCAUGUCUGAAAGCUGGAAAGCCCUCUCCUCCCACUGUUCCCUCCUGCAAGGUGGUCAUGGCUGGUGGUAGGAAAUGGAGCACGUGGGAAGCAAGGGGAAGCCAAACUACUCCAAACAUUUCUUGACUGUGAGCAAUAUGGAGUUAAAGGAUAUAGCAAGCAAGCGUUCUUAGUCCAGCAGGGAAACGUGAUGCCUCCAGAAACUGUCAUGGUGUAUGGAUGCAAGACAAUGCUCUAGAGAACAUGUGGCAAAGUAAAGGAUUUAUGGGUGCUAUUUCUCUUGUUCUUUAGGCUGCAAUGGUUGUUAGGCAAUGCUGAAUUAUUUUACUUAUCUCUCGCUUGAGGGAAGGAGCUACAGCAGCCACAUAUCAAUUAUAUGCAGACAUGACCCCAGGUUGGCCCCAUUCAUUUUUGCAGCAGCUUGAAAGUCAUCAGUUUUAAAAAUCAAUAAGUAACACUGAAUUAUGAAUUGUUUUCUGCUGGAAGGUUUGAGAAAUACUGAUGUGACUGCUGAGCAGUUGGUAACACAAAAUUAAUGUAAGCUAUGCAUAUAAUGAGAGAUACAUGCAGUAGAAAAUUGAUGAAGACAAGGUUAAAGUAUUGCCCGCUGCCUUUCAGAAACAAUUGAGUGAUUUGCCUUAAAUUUCAGAUUUGAUAUCCUCGAGGUAGGCUAAAGAAUUCUGUUACAAAAUAAACUAAUAAGCCCAAAGCUAUAAAGCUCUGUGCAAGCAGGUAAUCCUUUGUUGCCUGCAAGGAAAAACAUUUAUAUGAUUACAUUUAUUUUUUGUUCUCUCUGGGUGACCUCCAUGUCCUUCCAUCAAUCGAAGUUUAAUUUUUCAUUCCUUUAUUCACUCCCUCUUGUUCUCCAAUUAUCUUUUCCUUUUCUUUCAGUGCUGAGUGCAUUUAUGCUUUCCCCGUCUUUUAGUAUCUCUGUCUUGAUCACAAGUACGUAUAGCUCCUCCCAUUUAAGUAUAGGAGAGAAGCUCUUUGUUUAAAGCUCUUUAUAACAGACCAGCAAAUGGCAAGUAAUUGUUGCACUGGCUUCUUUCAGUGCUGGUGGACAGUGGGAGAUGCUUUACUGGGAGGUACAAUUACUGGCACGACUUAGCACGAGUCCCACCAGCUGUGGCAUGGCCCUGGUGCUGCUGAGAACAAAGAUGUGAGCACGCACUGUACAUCCCCCAGCCCAUGAAUACCUUAGGUUGUUGCUGUAAAUGGGAUAGGAGGAAAUUCGGUUAUAAAUGGAGACUUGUUUUCUUACCAUUGACCACAAUAAACAUAUUUUUAAUUCAGCACUGCAAGAAAUCGUAGAUGUCCAAGAAAAGCCUGUUUGUAUCUUGAGCAUGGUGGACAAUGGGUGAAAUUCAGCCCUGUGUUAAA